AAAAAAAAAGGCUUUACACGUGAGGUGGAACAGACACAGAAUGAGAAAGAAGAUGCUUCUACACACUCAGCAGCCAUGGCAGGAAGCCUUGAAACCAGAGUUAAGCAAAUACAAGAUCUACAGGAGCAAGUGCACAAACUGACAGAACAGUUGAGUGAGACCACACGAGCAAAGUGUGAAGCUGUUAUUCAAGCAGAAGAAGCAAAUAGUCGUGAAAUGCAGCUUAAGUACAGG